rnacentral:lncRNA from 1 species
AAACACUGACUGAAAAGUGUUUAUUUGCAUCUGCAAUGAAUAUGUACACUUUCUUGUCUUCAUUAUUCUUUAAACAGUACAAUAUAACCAGUGUUUGAAUUAUAUAAGAUAGUAUAAAUAAUCUAGAGAUUAUUUAAAGUAUAUGGGAGGAUGUGUGUAAGUUAUACGCAACCUCCAUUCCAUUUUAUAUAAGGAACUUGAAUGGCCAUGGAUUUGGAUAGCUGCAGGAGUCCUGGAACAAAUCCUUCAUGGACACUGAGGAACAACUGUACAGUUUUCUGUACACAUUAACUAUUAAAAAGUUUAUAAAUGAGGCACGUAAGAAGUUAACAAUAACUACUAAUACAAUAGAUAGGUUAUAAUAAUAUACUGUAAUAAAAUGUGAAUGUGGAUACUCUCAAAAUAACUUAUUUCAGCUUCAUCUGUCUGCUUAAAGGAAACACUUCAUGGCCUUUCUUUCAUAUUCAAAUUAUCAGCAUCACUACUCCUGUGCUUUGGGAAUAUUUUUUUUUUUUGGUACCAGGGAUUGAACUCAGGACCUUGCGCAUGCAAGGCAGGCGCCAGAACCACUGAGCUAAAUCCCCGGCCCUAGGGAACAUUAUUUAUUACAGUAAGUUAUGUAAACACAAAGUGACUUAAACUCAUUGUGACAACAUAGUAGCCAAUCUUAUUGCUGAGAUAGUCACAAAGUGGGCAAUAGGUAGGUAGCACAGGGAGUGUAGAUAUGCUGGACAGAGGCAUGGUUCAUGUUCCACAUGAGAUGGAGCAGAAUGGCACAAGAUUUUAUCAUUGCAAGCUGGAUGCAGGCCUAUAAUCCAGCACUCGGGUUUUCUUUCUUCAACCCAGCCAGUGAGCCACAGCACCUCAAGUCAGUGUGUUAGAGCAAGAGAAGAUUCUCUGAUGUUCUUAACAAGUCACCUUGGAACAAGUGUUCAAAAAUACUUUGUUCACAAAUCCAACCCAAAGAAUUGCUAGGAACAGAAGAGAAAUGACAGAUGAGGAGAGGUCUGAACAUGAGGGUUCCAAGAUAGAUUGUUUCAGCUUCACAGAGUGUGGAAAAACCUGAAGGCCCAUUAAAAUAAAAGAACAAUAUUUUGAGAAGUUGCUAAAGAUUCCUGUGCCCACUCUAUUUGUUGGUGUCUUGUAAUCUGAAGAUAUGAAGAAGAGAUUUAAAGAAAAAGCUGGUAUAUUAUUUUUGUAAGUCUUGUGAAUGAAUGGACAUGGAUUGUGGUUUGGGAGCAUAAAAAUGCUGAGUGAAUCAACCUUAUAGGUAAAACCCAAAGCCUUUGCUUUCAGAGAACUGUGGGACUCAGGUUAGAUCCCCUCCUUGUUUCAAAAUUCAGAUAAUUACUUUAAAUUCCCACCUUUACUGCCUUAAACAAAGCACUGACAGGAUGAGUGUAAGACAGUGUUUCCUAGGUGGCCAAGGGAGCUGGAAGCCGUGGGAGGGCUCCACCCUAAUCUGCUGCUUCUCAAGUGGCUAAGCGACCCCCAGGGGCUUCUAUUCUUCUCCCUAAGGAGUUAGUGGGCCACAUCAUGGAGAGUCCCAAGGUCGAGGGAGUCACUGGGAGCUCCACUCUUCUAGGAAGACACUGGUGACACUGCCAGAGCUUGGAGCAGAGACAUCUGCUUAGUAAGUGCUUGAGUAUCACAAGGGUGCUUUGUGAAC